CCAGGGCGCACAGAGGGGCCGUGCUCCACAUGGUCCCGAGAGCUGGGAGACAACAAACAGCGCUUAGUGACGGGAAUUACAGCGUGGAUUCUCUCGGCUGAGGGGAAACGCGGCCCCCUCGCCUCGGGGGGGCCGUGAGGGGACAGCCCCGGUGCCUGCCCUGCCAUGUGGGCCCUGCGGGGACACCCCCUGAUAGACAGGGACCGUGAAGGGACAGCCACUGUUCCCUCCCUUCUCCGAGGGUCGUGAAGGGACAUCCUGACUCCAGUCGGUCGUGAGGGAACACCCCUCUUUCCGCCCUUCCACGGGGGUCGUGAGGAGACACCUUAGAGCAGACAGGACAGUCUGGUGUUGUGCUCCCUUGUAUCAGAAACUUGAUGCAGAUGGAGCUGUGGGAAGUGACAUCACUGCCUUGGGUGGCUUCAGCUGUCCCUUGGGAAGUGCCAGAGUCCCUCCUGCUGUCCCAAACCCUGUGACAGGGAGAUGAAGGUCUGUGCUGGACCUGGAGAGAGCCCAGGGAGCAUGGGGCAGAGAUCCUCUGUCAGAGAAAAUUUAGCACUCAAGGAUAACAUAGACACUGCAGAGGGUCAGGCUAAGUCUGAAGUGGUAUGUCUGCACAUGUAAAUAAUCUCUUUAAAAAAAUAGAGUCCCAGAUCUGAUUUGCAUUUUCCUAAAAUGCUCAUUAAUUCUGGAUGAGUCAAAACAAGGCAAGUGGUGGGCAUUUGUUACCGGUAAUCACAGAAUCCCAGACUGGUUUUUGUUGGAAGGGACCAGUGCACCUCAUUCCACUCCCUGCCAUGGGCAGGGACACCUUCCAUUAUCCCAGGUUGCUCCAAGCCCCAUCCAGCCUGGCCUUGGAUACUUCCAGGGAUGCUGCAGCCACAGCUUCUCUGGGCAACCCAUGCCAGGGCCUCACCACCAUCACAGCCAAGAAUUCCUUCCCAAUAUCCCAUCUGACCCUGCCCUCUGGCAGUGGGAAGCCAUUCCCCCUUGUCCUGCCCCUUCAAGCCCUUGUCCAAAGUCCCUCUCCAGCUCUCUUGGAGCCCCUUUAGGCACUGGAAGGGGCUCUAAGGUCCCCCUGGAGCCUUUUCUUCUCCAGGUGAACACCCUCAGCUCUCCCAGCCUGUCUCCAGAGCAGAGGGGCUCCAGCCCUGAGAACAUCCUCGUGGCCCCCUCUCAACUGAAUAAUGAAACUAUUAACAAGCACACUAAUCUGGACACGUGUUGUGGCACUGAUGCAGCCAUGAGAAGUUCCUGAUGGAACCCAUGGAUGAAUUCAGCAGCUGCUGCAUCAUUUGGGCUGGUUUGGGGCAUUUGUGCCUUGGGUUGUUGCUCAUUUUAGUUCACAUCUUCCCUCCUUCCCUGGUGUAGUCAGACUCUUUUCUCUCAACAGUUUGAGAAACUUGUGAACAGCUGAAGAGGAGAGACAGAAGUAAUUAUGCAGAUUUGCAUAGAUCUUGCAUUUCCCAUGGGAUUUAAUGUGAAUUUUUGUGCUCUGUGUGGUGCAGGUGAUAAUGGGGAAGGAAAGAGUGGUGACAGAAAUCCAUGUAAAGCAGCAGAAUACAUUUGAGGAGGUGUGAAUUUCAAAGAGGUGUUGGUAGCAGUGAAAACGCUGCAUGCUCGUGUUCGGCUUGCUGGAGAAGGAAUUGCAGGUGCAAAUGCUUGGAUAUGUAUUCCAAGUGAGAUUUGGGCUUCCUGUUAUUUCUGAGCUUUUUUUUAAAGCUGACCCAUAUAUCAUUUCAUGAAUUAGUAAGAUUUUUUCCUACUCAGUUCUGUGGAUGUGUCAGUGACUUCUGUUCCAUUAUAAUUUUUACAGUUCUUAUUUCAUUUUCCAUAAUUAAGUAUGUGGCUUCCAUAAGAGACACUAUCUCUAAACUGCUAGUGUUGUGUGGCAAUUCCAUCUCAUGUGAUUUUAAUUUGAAGAUUUUUUUUUAAAUACCUCUUGCAGUUAAUUUUUUAUUGCUUAUAUUGUGGUGGCCUUGGCAGUGCUGGCUUAACAGUUAGACUUGAUGAUCUCAAAGCUCUUUUCCAGCCUAAAUGAUUCUGUGAUUCUUUAUUAUUGUACAGGUUUUCCAGUUGAUAGAAUCAGUGUUCACAGGCAGGAUUUGCUGUAUUUAACUCAGGUGCCUUUUACUCAGUCUUAAAUGAGUAAUUUAAUUUCAUUCUCAUGAAAGCUGGAUGCUCUUUGCACAGAUUAAAGGAUAAAGAAACGCUUUUCCCUGCAUUUCAGCCCCCAUAUAUAUGUGAGUGGAUGCUUAUCACAGACAGAAGGUAUCAGCCACCAGUUUAUACUGGGAGACAGCUUGGUAUAAAUAACAAAUCCUCUAAUUAAAAGCCAACAGAUCCUAAUUGACUUAUUUUAGUCCUUAAACUGGGAUCAGCCUUUCUCUCUUGCUAUGGCAUGGAGCAUCCUUUGUUUAACAAACACUGAGGGGGAAUCGAGUGAGGGAGGAAAAAACAGCCCUUCUGAGAGGCUGUAGCCAUGUGCAAGUGUUUGAAGUUGUUAUUUUAGGAGCUUAUUUUAGUGACUUUCGAGCUGAGCAUUGAGAAUAUAUAGAGCAGCUUUUAGGGAAAAUGCUAAUGUGGUGGUGGCUUCCUUUACCAUGAGCUGCAGCUCUGCCAGCAAAGCUGAAAUGUGCCAUUUAAGGAACACCGAAGCUUUGAGGGAAGUUUGAACUCAGCUGGAUUUAGAAACUUGCUGGAGUGCACCGGAUGCUGGGGGAAACCAGAACACACUUUCUGGAUUGUCAGACCAAAGGCAGAAAGGUUCCCACAAAGCCCUCCUCCUUGUGGAGCUUCUGUUUCUUAUUUAGAUUUUGUUUUUUAAUACCCAAAAAGCUUUUAGUGGUGUUCUGACAAUGGGGGCCUGGAAAUUGGGCUAAAUUAAAACAGGUUUUGUUUGUUUACUUAGAAGUGCUAACAGACUCAGACAGUCCCACUGCAUUUUCAGGGCUUACAUCAUUCUAAAAUAGAUUUAAUAGAUUCAAAACAAAUUUGAUAAUGAAGUAACUUCCACUUGGUGUGUUUGCAUCUAUUCCAAAGGAAAAGCUCAGCUUUGUGAGGUGUGCUGAACUGCAUUUGAUAUGAAAUAGUAAGAAGUUUAUUUUAGUUGCAGGAAAAUAUGAGAGAACAUGAGGAAUUAAAUGAACCAGUUGGAAGAUGGGAGAUCAAAUGCAAGAGAAGUUGGGAGCCUGAUCCUCAGGCCAGAGUCUGUCCUGAAUUGCACUGCUACAAGCUGAAGAGAGCAGAAUUCCAUUCUAAGAAUGCAGGUAACUGGUGAUACCCAAA